UCUGUGGGCUCAGACUCAGACCAUGCCACACCGGUUGCAGUCAAGAGAUCUUUAUUGGAGGAAUCCGAGGGAGAGCCGAAGCGGAAGAAGAAAGAGAGCGAGGGCUCUGCAGCCUCCGUCUUUUAUGCCUAGGGACGUUACGUGGGGGUCGCUGGUUGGCUGAGGGGCUGGGUCUAGGCUGAGGCAGGAAGGCGUGACCUCUGAUUGGCUCCUUUUGGCGGGCCUGUGUUGGGGAGGAAGAAGAACCCGGAACCAGCGCCAUUAGGGUGCUCUUGUUACCUAACAUUCCUCCCUUUUUUGUUUUUUAAGAAGUGGGGAAGUGGGCGUCGCUGUUCGUCUGGCUACUUCCUGCUGAACGGGGGCAUCGUGGGGAAGGGAUAUUGGAGGACUGUAGGGGCAGAGCAACAGCAGGAGGCUAAAGAAGACGGCGCUGAAGGCGAACACUUCCCGGGGUGUGAAGUCUAAAGAUGUGCCUUGUAAGUAGAGGUCAUCUUUGGACGCGAGCCAUCCGUAUGGCAGGGAAGGAUCUGCUAUGAGCCACGUAUCUUCUUGGAGGGCCUGGAGGAAAUCUAAGAAAUUACAGGUCCUGGAGGUGGAGGCCAUGGAUAGAAGUAAGAGCCAGGACUGCUGUACUGAGAUGGAAACGGAGGCACAGCACCAAUGAAAGGGUGACUCUGUGGGCUCAGACUCAGACCACGCCACACCGGUUGCAGUCAAGAGAUCUUUAUUGGAGAUCCGAAGCAGAAGAAGAAAGAGAGCGAGGGCUCUGCAGCCUCCGUCUUUUAUGCCUAGGGACGUUAUGUGGGGGUCGCUGGUUGGCUGAGGGGCUGGGUCUAGGCUGAGGCGGGAAGGUGUGACCUCUGAUUGGCUCCUUUUGGCGGGCCUGUGUUGGGGAGGAAGAAGAACCCGGAACCAGCGCCAUUAGGGUACUUGUUACCUAACAACAGUGAGCCGAGAUCAUGCCACUGCACUCCAGCCUGGGCAACUGAGCAAGACUCUGUCUCAAUUUAAAAGAAAAAAAAAAAAAGUCCCAGAAGAAAAAGCAGUUGGCCCCUAAAUCCCCACCCCAUCUCGUCACAGCCCGUCUUGGCCCAUCUGGACACCUGGGCUUCUGGGGCUGCCUGGAGUUAGCUCCCUGGCUGGAAAAGGUCACACUGGGCUCGAAAUGACGCGCACAGGUUUCCCCAUCUUUGGCAGGCCUGAUGCCAUGGAGGUAUGUGCUGCAACUCCUUCUAAAUGGGACAAGAAAAGAGUGAAUGGCCCAGAUCAGGCUGGGUAUGUAAAGGCUCAAAAGCCAGAGACAAGAGCAGAAAAGAGAGAGGAGGGGACUAGUGUUUUGCUAGAGUUUCCCCCUAGGAUUCCGGGAUAAUUGGGCCUCUUCACUGCUUUCAAAAUUGGCGAGGGCCUUAAUAGUGCUUGGGUGGGUCUGAAACCACUCCCCUCCCCACUUAGGAUUCUUGAGAAAGGGACAGGGAAUUCCUCAAAUCGGCCUUCCCUUUCUCUUUCCCACAGAUCCUAAUGGGACCAUAUUUCCUAUAUUCUCAGCCACCAGCAGGUGAGAAUAUAGCCUCCUUCUGUGAGGACAGAAGGCGGCUUUCUAGGAGCCAGGAAGCAGACUCUCACCAGACACCAGAUCUGCUUGUGUCUUGAUCUUGGACUUACCAGCCUCCAGAACUGUGAGAAAUAAAUAUUU